rnacentral:rRNA from 1 species
GAUGAACGCUAGCGGGAGGCCUAAUACAUGCAAGUCGAGCGGUAGAGUGACUUCGGUUGCUUGAGAGCGGCGAACGGGUGAGUAACGCGUACACAAUCUACCUUUAAGAGGGGAAUAGCCCUGGGAAACUGGGAUUAAUGCCCCAUGGCAUCACGAGACGGCAUCGUUUUGUGAUUAAAGCUGAGGUGCUUAGAGAUGAGUGUGCGUCUGAUUAGCUAGUUGGUGCGGUAACGGCGCACCAAGGCGACGAUCAGUAGGGGGCGUGAGAGCGUGGACCCCCACACGGGUACUGAGACACGGACCCGACUCCUACGGGAGGCAGCAGUAAGGAAUAUUGGUCAAUGGAGGAAACUCUGAACCAGCCAUCCCGCGUGCAGGAAGAAUGCCCUAUGGGUUGUAAACUGCUUUUAUCUGGGAAGAAAAGUCGGGAUUUAUCCUGAUCUGACGGUACCAGAGGAAUAAGCACCGGCUAACUCCGUGCCAGCACCGCGGUAAAGU